rnacentral:rRNA from 1 species
UACGUAGGGGGCGAGCGUUGUUCGGAUUUACUGGGCGUAAAGCGUGCGUAGGCGGUUAUUUAAGUCGGGUGUGAAAGCCCCGGGCUCAACCUGGGAAUUGCAUUCGAGACUGAAUAGCUAGGGUACGGUAGAGGGAAGUGGAAUUUCCGGUGUAGCGGUGAAAUGCGUAGAUAUCGGAAGGAACAUCAGUGGCGAAAGCGACUUCCUGGACCAGUACCGACGUUCAGGCACGAAAGCGUGGGGAGCAAACAGG